GAUGAACGCUAGCGGCAGGCUUAAUACAUGCAAGUUGAGGGGCAGCAUGAUAUACGCGAGUAUAUUGAUGGCGACCGGCGGACGGGUGAGUAAUAGGUAGGAGACCUACCUCAUACAGGGGGAUAGCAUAGAGAAAUCUGUGGUAAUACCCCAUGAGGUUAUAUGAAUAGAGGCAUAUAAUCAAAGCAUAAGCGAUUAUGCGGUAUGAGAGGGGCCUACUGACCAUUAGCUAGUUGGUGAGGUAAGGGCUCACCAAGGCGAAGAUGGUUAGGGGUUUUGAGAGAGAGACCCCCCACAUUGGAACUGAGAGACGGUCCAGACUCCUACGGGAGGCAGCAGUAGGGAAUAUUGGGCAAUGGGCGAAAGCCUGACCCAGCCAUGCCGCGUGCGGGAUGAAGGCCCUACGGGUUGUAAACCGCUUUUCCCCGGGAAGAACUAAGGCCCCCCGCGGGGGUGAGUGCCGGUACGGGGAUAAGGAUCGGCUAACCCGUGCCAGCAGCCGCGGUAAAC
rnacentral:rRNA from 1 species